rnacentral:misc_RNA from 1 species
AGCUGGGUCAUCUAACU